GAAUCAGUAAUGUGGGCAUAGUGUAGUCUC
rnacentral:piRNA from 1 species